rnacentral:rRNA from 1 species
UACGUAGGGUGCGAGCGUUAAUCGGAAUUACUGGGCGUAAAGCGUGCGCAGGCGGUGAUGUAAGACAGAUGUGAAAUCCCCGGGCUCAACCUGGGAACUGCAUUUGUGACUGCAUCGCUGGAGUGCGGCAGAGGGGGAUGGAAUUCCGCGUGUAGCAGUGAAAUGCGUAGAUAUGCGGAGGAACACCGAUGGCGAAGGCAAUCCCCUGGGCCUGCACUGACGCUCGUGCACGAAAGCGUGGGGAGCAAACAGG